GUUUUUAUGGUGUAACUAAACACAUAGUCCUUUCAAGACUAAACUGACGACCGUCUAAAAACA
rnacentral:tRNA from 1 species